rnacentral:rRNA from 1 species
CCUACGGGAGGCAGCAGUGAGGAAUAUUGGUCAAUGGUCGGGAGACUGAACCAGCCAAGCCGCGUGAGGGAGGAAGGUACAGAGUAUCGUAAACCUCUUUUGUCAGGGAACAAAGACUGGGACGCGUCCCCGGAUGAGUGUACCUGAAGAAAAAGCAUCGGCUAACUCCGUGCCAGCAGCCGCGGUAAUACGGAGGAUGCGAGCGUUAUCCGGAUUUAUUGGGUUUAAAGGGUGCGCAGGGGGGCUGUUAAGUCAGCGGUCAAAGCCCGGGGCUUAACCCCGGAACCGCGUUUGAUACUGGCAGUCUCGAGUUGGAGAGAAGUAUGCGGAAUGCGCGGUGUAGCGGUGAAAUGCAUAGAUAUCGCGCAGAACUCCGAUUGCGAAGGCAGCAUGC